rnacentral:rRNA from 1 species
GAUGAACGCUGGCGGCGUGCCUAAUACAUGCAAGUCGAGCGAACGGACGAGAAGCUUGCUUCUCUGAUGUUAGCGGCGGACGGGUGAGUAACACGUGGAUAACCUACCUAUAAGACUGGGAUAACUUCGGGAAACCGGAUCUAAUACCGGAUAAUAUUUUGAACCGCAUGGUUCAAAAGUGAAAGACGGUCUUGCUGUCACUUAUAGAUGGAUCCGCGCUGCAUUAGCUAGUUGUUAAGGUAACGGCUUACCAAGGCAACGAUGCAUAGCCGACCUGAGAGGGUGAUCGGCCACACUGGAACUGAGACACGGUCCAGACUCCUACGGGAGGCAGCAGUAGGGAAUCUUCCGCAAUGGGCGAAAGCCUGACGGAGCAACGCCGCGUGAGUGAUGAAGGUCUUCGGAUCGUAAAACUCUGUUAUUAGGGAAGAACAUAUGUGUAAGUAACUGUGCACAUCUUGACGGUACCUAAUCAGAAAGCCACGGCUAACUACGUG